GGUGAGGUAAGGGCUCACCAAGGCGACGAUCCCUAGCUGGUCUGAGAGGAUGAUCAGCCACACUGGAACUGAGACACGGUCCAGACUCCUACGGGAGGCAGCAGUGGGGAAUAUUGCACAAUGGGCGCAAGCCUGAUGCAGCCAUGCCGCGUGUAUGAAGAAGGCCUUCGGGUUGUAAAGUACUUUCAGCAGUGAGGAAGGUUCAUACGUUAAUAGCGUAUGGAUUUGACGUUAGCUGCAGAAGAAGCACCGGCUAACUCCGUG
rnacentral:rRNA from 1 species